CACAUGGGCGUAUACUUUUCUCCUACACCUUUUUGGCGUUCAACAGUGACCCGACUGCCGACAUGACGCACCUGGCAGAGAGAGAAGAGAGAGGCCCUGACGUUUCCACAGGCGAGAGCUGAAGGCGCGGCCUCCAACGCACGAGCACCAGCGGGAGCCAACCACAGGGGGACACCAUAGCUUUUGUCCUAGACCCGUUCCACGUGUCUGGUGCCGAGGAGGUCCGAUGUAGUCGGACGGCGCCCAAUUGGAGGGCCAAAUACAUUGGCGUGGGGCGGCCCUGCCGUGCCGUCGUCUUCUUCGUCCGCCCGCGGCCAUGCAGUGCAGAAUGUAAGAGCAUCACAUACACGGCGACCAGAGCGCGACGAUCAUGGCAGGGCGCGGCGGCUGGAGACCACGCGGCGCGAGCAUCCCCAUGCCGUCGUCGAGCAAGCAGAUAUGGGGCCAUUGCAGCGCCACGGUCACUAGCUGGCCGGAGGUUGAAUCGCGUCGGCGACCUUCGUCUGCAGCUCCAUCAGGCAGGCUUACUGAUGCUAUGGGAUAGGCUACACAAUUCUCAGACAAUUGUCAACAGAACCCACCUGUCACUGUCUUACGAUAAACAACUUUUAUCAACGGACAUCUGCUAUCUUGACCUCACAGGGCACUUCUUAUAUUAUUCGUGCCUACCGAACAAAGCAUCCUCAUAAGUCAUAACAAUUGCAUCAUUUCGGCACUGAGGUCAUUUACCAGUGUACGGCUUUGCUCCGUUCAUGGUCGCCAUUUCAGCGCUUGGAGGAUCGAGACCUCUUUACGGAGGUGUCUACACGGUUGGAGAAUACGGCCAAGAAGUUUAUUCCCAACAUGGCUGGAUGCAUAGUUGUAGGAUUGAAGCUAAUAAAGCUCUAGACUAGUUGGAUUUAUUCAUUUCGCUGUCACUUUCUUAUUGCUACAUGAUAGUCUGUCGAAUGGUUGUGUACAUCCUAGUUAUGCAGAGGCUGGAUGUAAUGCUUAAAUUUUUUUGAGUAAUAAAACGCCCAUUAUCGAGAGAAAAAA